rnacentral:rRNA from 1 species
CGAAUUAAACUUGAAGCAGGUUGUUGCUGGCUCUCCUUCGAGCGCAUGUGCACGCUUGUUUCUCUUUAUUUCUCCAACUGUGCACAAUUUGUAGACUGUUUUGAGGAUUUAUUUCCCUUGGUCUAUGCUUUCACAAUCUCUGAAUGUAAUGUAGAAUGCUUUUGAAUCUGGGGAAUAAUACAUACAACUUUCAGCAACGGAUCUCUUGGCUCUCGCAUCGAUGAAGAACGCAGCGAAAUGCGAUAAGUAAUGUGAAUUGCAGAAUUCAGUGAAUCAUCGAAUCUUUGAACGCAUCUUGCGCUCCUUGGUAUUCCGAGGAGCAUGCCUGUUUGAGUGUCAUUUAAAACUUCUCAACUGCUCCAGAUUUAUUUUUUGGAUGUGGCUUGGAAAUGGAGGGAGUGCAGGCUUUCAUGAAGAGUCUGCUCCUCUGAAACAUAUUAGCGGUGUCUGGGCAAAGACUACCACAGGUGUGAUAACUAUCAAUGCCUUGGUGUUAUGCUGCUGCUGCUUCCAACUGUGUGCAAUGACCAACUUGACCUCAAAUCAGGUAGGAUUACCCGCUGAACUUAAGCAUAUC